rnacentral:rRNA from 1 species
UACGUAGGGGGCAAGCGUUGUCCGGAAUCAUUGGGCGUAAAGCGCGUGUAGGCGGCCCGGUAAGUCCGCUGUGAAAGUCCAAGGCUCAACCUUGGGAUGCCGGUGGAUACUGUCGAGCUCGAGUCCGGAAGAGGAGUGUGGAAUUCCUGGUGUAGCGGUGAAAUGCGCAGAUAUCAGGAGGAACACCAAUGGCGAAGGCAGCACUCUGGGACGUGACUGACGCUGAGACGCGAAAGCGUGGGGAGCAAACAGG